UGCGUCGACGGCACAUUGAUUAUCAUGUUAAAGCCAGAGGGACUCAGCCGGUCAGCCCUGCCGACACAGCGAGCUUCAUGUCGAGAAAGGGUUAUUACGCCCUAAACGUCAUGGUCGUAUGCAACGCGGAACUUCGCAUCCUUGUUGUGGACCCCCAGCUCCCUGAUUCGUGCCACGACUCGUGGGUGUGGCAGCAUAAUCCAAUGCGUGCGCGCCUAGCCGCACAACUGCAGCCUGGCGAGUAUCUGCUAUGUGCCCAGCUAUGACUAGUGCCAGGGAGCGCACCUUCUCCAGGAUGCCCACCUGAGCCGCUGCCGUAUUCUCUGCCGCGACAGCGAGGCGGGUGGUGGAUUGUGCGGUCCUCCGCAGCACCUGAAAUGAAUAACCGUGGUGGAACUGUUCGCAUGAGUUGCUGAUUACUCGCAACCAGCUCAUGGCUGGAAGUUGCUGUUGUCAAGAAUGG